rnacentral:rRNA from 1 species
UACGAAGGACCCAAGCGUUAUCCGGAUUUAUUGGGGUUAAAGGGUGCGUAGGCGGAUUAUUAAGUCAGUGGUGAAAGCCUGCAGCUUAACUGCAGAACUGCCAUUGAUACUGAUGAUCUUGAGUAUGAUUGAGGUGGGCGGAAUGUGUCAUGUAGCGGUGAAAUGCUUAGAUAUGACACAGAACACCGAUUGCGAAGGCAGCUCACUAAGCCAUAACUGACGCUGAUGCACGAAAGCGUGGGGAGCAAACAGG